rnacentral:rRNA from 1 species
CUCCGGCUAAUACCCCGUACGCUUCCUCAACCGCAUGGUAAGGGAAGGAAAGGUAGCUUCGGCCAUCCGGCGAGGGAGGGGCCCGCGGUACAUUAGCUAGUUGGUGGGGUAACGGCCCACCAAGGCGACGAUGUAUAGCUGGUCUGAGAGGAUGAUCAGCCACACUGGGACUGAGACACGGCCCAGACUCCUACGGGAGGCAGCAGCCAGGAAUCUUGGGCAAUGGGCGCAAGCCUGACCCAGCAACACCGUGUGGGCGACGAAGGCUCUAGGGUCGUAAAGCCCUGUUGAUAGGGAC